AGAUCUGAAAUCAGGUGGGACUACCCGCUGAACUUAAGCAUAUCAAUAAGCGGAGGAAAAGAAACUAACAAGGAUUCCCCUAGUAACGGCGAGUGAAGCGGGAAAAGCUCAAAUUUAAAAUUUGGCAGGUACCCUGUCCGAGUUGUAGUUUCAAGAAGCGUUUUCGGUGCGCGUCCGGGUAUAAGUUCUUUGGAACAGGACAUCAUAGAGGGUGAGAAUCCCGUUUAUGACCCGGAACUGCGUACUAUGUGAUACGUUUUCUAAGAGUCAGGUUGUUUGGGAAUGCAGCCUAAAAUGGGUGGUAAAUUUCAUCUAAAGCUAAAUAUUGGCGAGAGACCGAUAGCGAACAAGUACCGUGAGGGAAAGAUGAAAAGAACUUUGAAAAGAGAGUUAAACAGUACGUGAAAUUGUUGAAAGGGAAACGUUUGAAAUCAGUCGUGCGGGCGGGUAAUCAGCUUGGCCUUUGGGUCUUGUGCACUUUCUCGUCUCGCAGGCCAGCGUCGGUUUUGUUUGCCGGAUAAAUGCCAAAGGAAUGUAGCUCCACCUUUCACGAGGAGGGGUCUUAUAGCCCUGGUAAAUACGGCGGUCGAGACCGAGGUCUGCAGUUGAUGCCUCUCGGGGCUGGGGACUCCAUCGCUCAUUCGCACCCGCGCCUAGACAGCUUGCUGACUAGGUGUGUGGUCUGUGGGUGACACGGUGGCCUACC
rnacentral:rRNA from 1 species